rnacentral:lncRNA from 1 species
UCCAAAAACCAUCACACUGGCGGUGAGGAUUUCAACAUAUGCAUUGGGAGGGGAGGGAUGCACACAUUUAGUCCAUUGGCCCUUCUCACAAAAACUACAAUUUGCUUGAAUUAAUGCCAUACUCAAGGCCUAUGUCGCAAGGGAUCUGAGAAUACAGAGGAGGCAAGUCAACAAAAGAAGAGUCAGGGGAAGUAUCACAGAUGAAGAGGCAUCUGAGCUCAGUGUUAUGGAAUGAAGGAAAUCAACACUCAGAGAAAAGGGGAAAGCAUGAAUGCAGUCCCCCACUACCACAAAUCAUGCAGUCGAGUUUCGCACUUUUGGGGAAAUCACAGGGGUCAGCACACCCAGAGUGCAAUGGAUAAACCUCGCCCUGGGAAAACCACCUUCGUGAUCAUGUUAUCUCCCCUGCCAGCUUAUUCAGAUGAUGUGAAUACCGGCUAAUUAUUGCAACGAUGUUUGCUUCCAAGCAUUAAA